UUUUAUAACAUGAUCAAUUAAAAUGCACUAGAACUUUGUUCUGGUGCAUUUUAAUUGAUCUAAGUAUAGAAUUUUAAUUUAUUAACCUGGGUUAAUAAAUUUCCGAUUGAGAGAAUAGCAACAUUUUUAGAGAAAUAUCAAUGUUUCCCUAAUGUGCUAUUGAUAGUUGGCGACAUGUAUUAAAGUCUUCUGUCACAGUUGACUCAGCAAGAAUGAAGACAUUGAUACACUUUUGCAUUAUGGAAUACACAAGUUGGCAGUUCCUCGUCCACUGCCACCCAAAUACAGGUAAAAAAAACGUAACAGACGAUAGAGACAAAGUGAUUAUUAUGUGUGGCAAAAGAUUAUUUUAUGAAGUUUUUCAUUUUCUGACUUCGUGAUGGAACCUAUUGGAGUACACUUUUCUUGGACAUAGGAGGAGUAUUGCCGCCACAAGCAUUAACAAUAAUAAAACAUUCCAAAGAUUAAUUCCUUAUUUCAACGAUUAGAUGUGUUGUUUAAAUGUAUAAAUGCUUUUUGUAUAUUCUUAUUAUAUAUCAUCCUAAUUUCAAAA